CUUUAACCUUGCAGUAUUUUUUUUUUCAAGAAAAUGCCAACUUGGAAUGCAGGAGAAGCAAUAACAACAAAGUUAUAUGUCAACUGCCCUCUAACAUUCAUGGCUUUCAUUUUGAAUGCCUUCACUUUCAGGAUAUGGGAGUGGUGUAGCUGGAAGCUGGAAGACUCCUUGGUGGGCUGGGCUGGGAGAGCAUUUUCUGACAGACAAAACAUCAUGUCCAUUCCACUCUGCCCCAGCGAACCAAAGCUGUUUUAGUAAACCAAGGCAACUCCAUUAGGAAAAGCAUAUGCCAUCAGAAAGGAUGUGAAUGAAGCUCAAGAGGUAUCAAGGGAUUACCAAGCAGCAAGGGAAUGAAAGAUUCUUUUCCACUAAUUUAGGAUUGCAGACCCAGCUUUACCCGAGACGUUGAAGUCCAUCAGUGCAAGACCCCAGUGAUCAGUUUAUUCAGUUCCUCUCCACUGCAUUUUCCAGCUUCCUCUCUGAUAAGCCAAGCAGGACCACACUGGCCUGUAUUGCUCCUGACAUGAGCACUCCCAUAUGGAGUGCCAUUUGGUCACGUGGCAUCCCUGUGGCUCCAGGCAAGCUCCCAGUACCAAUGUGCAAGGAGUGUGGCCUCUCAGGCACGGGGAAAAGUCACUCCAGACACACCCCUUUCCCCUCUACAAACUGCCUCCUCUGCAGAGAGCCCAGAACUUGCCAUCUUGCAAUUCUGUGACAUGUGGCUGCAUGUCAGAUUAUUUCUUUGCCCUGAUCUCAGCAAUCUUUCAUCCAGCCCUGCUCAGGCUCCUCCUCCUGCCAACAUCUCUUGGACACAAGGGAUUGGAUGUAAGAACAGGCAAGAAUCUGGCUAUCCCAGCUGAACAACUGUCUUGACUCAGCAACCCCCAGUGUUGUACCAUAUCCUGGAGUGAUAUUUCUAUGCAGAUAACAUCCCAAGCAUUUACCUAAUUAGAUACAUGCAGAGCCACUAAGCACACCAGGGUUUAGGGCAGCUGCCAGGGAGCACAGCAGAUCCAGGGAAGGGGGAGGGUGUGCUGUACAGCUAAAACCAGAGCAAAUUCCUGGAUUCCUCAAAAUAUAAAUCAUCAGCUCUAUAAGGCAGUGCCACAUAAUAGGCGAUUCAGCUUCCCAGGUCUAGUCAGGGAAACGCAGGCAGUACAUGGGAAGGAACAAACAAGAUUUGUGAUCCUGACUGUAACCAAAUCCACGGCUCUAGGGACACAAAACAACAUUUCUAAAACAGCUCUCAUCUGUUUUUCCUCAAGCCUCCAUCUCUCCCAGCACUCCAAAGAGUGGCUGCCUCUGGCAGCUGGGAAUGUCCCUGUGCAGAGCAGGCCUCCAGCCCUCCUGAAGUGUGAAAGCUCACCUCUUGCUGAGGCAAAACACCCCCGCACCCAGAUACCAACACCAUGUCUCUUCUCUGGUUCCAUAAUUACAAUCAGGCCCUUCACAACUCCAGGACAGAGACACAGAGUACAUGACCCUGUACUGCGGUUUCCUCUGACAAGACCGUUUUGUCCAGAACCGCUUCCACUCACCAAACCCUGCUGCAGCAGGCAAAGCUCAAGCUCUAGCCACCCCACCUCCCUCCGGAGCACCUUCCCAGCACCAGUGGGGCUCUGUUGAUGCUGCUGAACACCCUGCACUCCUCCGGCUUCAAGCAGUGCCAGGCACCGCAGCUCGCUGAGCCCAUCUUCCCACCCAGUGAGAGCUGCAGGCUCCUCCUGGCUUCGUUCCACCAAGGGCCAGUCCUGCUCAGUUAACCUUCGGCAGUCCCGCAGAGAAGGCGUGGAGCCAGGCGGAUCAGUGGAUGGUCUCUGUGCAUCCUCUGGAAGCUGCUCUGGCAGACAGAGACAAAGCAGCAGGAUAUUCACAGACCUGAGAACAGCCUGUAACCACUGGAGUGUUUCAGAUGAUACAAAUAAGCCCUAAAAAUUUGUAAUUCCGACAUGUCAACCAGAUAUUAAAAUCCCAGUAACACACCUGAUUCUUUUGCUAUGCUAUGAAUUGGAGUUGAUCAUGGAGAUACCUGCCAGGGUUCUCAUUGUC